rnacentral:lncRNA from 1 species
AGGAAUGCAAUUGAGUGGAAACAAGGUCAGAAAGCUGGAGUUCUUGUUGGCAGAUGCUGUAGCACAGGGUGCUGACUGCAUAGUGACUAUAGGUGGCAUACAAAGUAAUCACUGUCGUGCUACUGCUGUCGCUGCCAAGUACUUAAACCUUGACUGUUAUCUCAUCUUACGCACUUCAAAGGUAUACCAUAAUUGUUCUCUUGGUAUUCUGUUUACUUCAAAGGACUUUCUUCUUUUUGUGUAAAGAGGAGGGUAUAGAGGAUGCUGAGCAAAUUUUAGGUUUUAUAAGAUCCUUAUAGGUUUCUGUGUAGCAAGUUUUUGUCUUAUCUUUGAGCCAGCUGUAAAUCUCUUUUGAUGGUAGCUAGCAUCUCCUUAAUGCUGAAGAAUACAACAUUACCUUUAUCCCAAAAAAUACUGUUUGAUUCAUACAUCUUCUGCAAGUCACAUCUUCCCGUUUAUGUGAAUAACUUCUUUAGUUAUGUCACAGUUACUUGUAGAUAAAGAUCCUGGAUUAACAGGGAACCUCCUUGUUGACCGUUUAGUUGGAGCACACAUUGAUCUUGUUUCAAAAGAAGAAUAUGCAAAAGUUGGCGGUGAGGUCUGUACUUUAUUCCUAACGUUCCUCCUCUUGUUUUUCUAAUGCAUUAAGUUUUAAGCUCUCUUUCUUUCUUUCCUCUGCUUGCACAAGGAGAACUUUGAGGUAAAGGUAGUUUGAUGCUGCAAAGAGACUUUUUGAAGGUGUUUGAUUAGAUUACAAAGCUGCGCACCCUGUUCUAGUAUAAUAUGUCCAAGCUGCAUCAGUUGUUUAUGAUGUGCUUGUAUAUCUUACUGGAAAUUGUCAAGCGAUAAAUCACCUAUUAUUUGGUGGUCCAUGUUAUUUUCUUUAAUUGUCACCUACUGAUCCUUAAUAAUCUUCUGGAUAGAUACCAGUGUGAAGACAAUAUUCUAUGCAUCAGCAAUCCCAAGUCAUGAAAAUUUUAAACUGACAAAAUCAAGAACUUAAUGCAAACUCCAUCCUUUUCUCCUUUUGGAGUUGAUGACCUUUAUAUUACAGCGUUACACAUGAAAGUGACUCUACUAUAAAGGUUAAAAUACAUUGGAAUUAUUUCCCUAAGCCAGUAUGUUGUUUAAGUUACAAAUAAUUUCUUUCACUUCUCUCGUUGGGUACUUGGGUUGAUAAGUAUGAAAUGUUGAAUUAGACUCAAGGGAAUGAUGCAGAAUGAAAGUGGCUGAAGUUGUUUAGUUAGCACUUUAAUCCCUGAAGUUAUAGUAGUAUUAUAUUUUGUUUAAUUGCACUUUAGUCAUCUUUGUAUGAGCUGGCAUAGCUCUGUCAGAAGCAGUAGUAGGUGAGGACACUGUUGCAAGCAUACUCUAUGAAUCAGCUAGGGUUGUGGUCCUAUAUAUAUUGUACUGAUGAAAAUGAAAUGGGAUUAUCUUGUUUUGCCAUAUAUCUCUUAGUUGUAAGUUAGCUUAGCAACUAGUUGUCUUCCUCAUUUUCUAUUCCCUGAAUUUCCCCUUUUUCUACUGUUCCAUUGAUUAUUGUUCAUCAAUAUUACUGUUCCAUUGAAUCUGCAUUAUACAUUGUUGCGUAACAGGGGAUUUCCCGUGGAGUUCUUUCCGGUUUUAUUUGCAAUCCCUCGCAUGGCUGACUACUUGUCACAUUAUAUUGUUGCGAGUCCCUUGACGAUCCUGAUACCAAGAUAAUGAGACCAGCACAUGAGGUAACUUAACUAUGGGCAAGCGCAAAUCAGUCUACUUAUGAGCGUGUACUAACUAGUGUUUGAAUAGAAUGCACACCUCGUCUCAUGAUUUGCAUUUGCACACAUCGUCUCAUUGAUCAUAUUGAAGGAAAUAUGUUCAUUAAGUUGGUAAUGAUCAGUUUGUAGGUAGAAAAUUAUUUUGAGAUUGAUACCUUGUGGAAUUAGUCGAUGUGCGUGUAAGUUGACCCCUCGGACAUCACAGUUAUAGCAAUGCAACGUCUUUUUUGAUUACUUCUCCAUAAAUAAAAAUACAAAUAAUAUUUGAGGUUUCCAAAACGUGUACUUUCCUUUUCUCAUCAAUUUAGGCUUCCCACUCACUUAUGCUUUUCCUAAUCAGUUUAGGUUUGCUAAUAAUAUUUUAUUAUAAAUAAACUUGAAAGGGGGUAAGUCUCCCAAUAUUGAUUUCUUCUCCUCACUUACCUUACCCUGCUUGGGAGGAGUAUGUUUAUGCGCUAAUGGACAGAUUUGGGGCUGAGUAUACUGAUCCUAUGUCUGAACUUAAACUAGUCAAGCAGGUUGGUACGGUUGAUGAGUAUCAAAAGGAGUUUGAUAGGAUUAUGACCAGAUUGGUUAUUCUCCCUGAGUAUGCUAUUAGUGCUUUUAUCACUGGUUUGAAACCUGAGAUUGGAUUUACUGUUAAGAAUCAUAGGCCCUGUUCCUUACCACAAGCUUACCAGUUAGCAAGAAACACUGAGGCUCAGGUAAAUGCCCAGUUGAAGUUGACUAGAUCAUCUCUAUAUGUUGCAGGGGGUUCUCAGUCAAGGGCAGGGAACUAUAAUUCAUUUUCCAAGGGAGCAGGAAGCAAACGAGAAGGCCAACCAUUUAAGGACUCAUCUGUGAGUCUGAACAGGAAGACUUCAAGAAGGCUCACACCUACUGAGAUGAGUGAGAAAAGGCAGAAGGGUCUGUGUUUCUUCUGUGAUGAGAAGUUUGUGCCUGGUCAUAAGUGCAGCUCUAACAAACAACUAUAUUUGUUAGAGGUGGCUGAAGAUGGGGAGGAAGACCAAAUGUUAGAAGUGCAGGAGGAUCAUGAUAACUAUGAAGAGGAGGAGGGACAUGAACAGAAUUGUGAAAUAUCUGUACAUGCUCUUAAUGGAAUCCAUGGGUUCAACACACUUAGAAUCAUGGGCUAUACUAAGGAUGGUCCUCUAAACAUAUUGGUUGACCCUGGAAGCUCACAUAAUUUUAUUGAUGAUAGGCUGAUUAAGAAGUUGCAGGGAGAUACACAAUUGAUCAAACCACAGUCUGUGAAUGUAGCUGAUGGUGGUAAUAGACAGACUAAUGAGGUUUGUAGAAACUUCAUUUGGAUGAUGCAAGGGCUCACAUUCCAGGAUGACUUUUUGUUGCUGUCACUAGGUUCUUGCGAUAUGAUUUUGGGGGUUCAGUGGUUGCUUCCUCUAGGAGACAUCAAACUCAACUUCCAGAAGUUAACGCUGGGGUUCUGGUAUCAAGGCAAGGAAGUGGUAAUACAAGGUACUAGAGAGAAAACUAGAAUUGUGGAGGCCAAGAAGUUGGACAAGCUAGCCCAAAAUGGCUGUCAACUUUUCAUGAUCAGGGUAUUGCCAACUGAUCAGGAACAACGAGAGGAACCACAGGCCGAUGCUAGUGCUAAUCCUAUCUUGGAAUUAACUAAGGAGUUUCAGAUACUCUUUCAGGAUCCCAAGGGCUUGCCACCUCAUAGAGGAGUGUUUGACCACAAGAUUCCCUUGCAGCAAGGUAGCAAUCCAGUCAAUGCUAGGUGUUAUAGGUACUCAUCAGGACAGAAAGAUGUCCUUGAUCAGAUGGUGCAAGAAAUGUUGGAUCAAGGCAUUGUGCGGCCAAGCUCUAGUCCUUAUGCUUCACCAGUGGUAUUGGUAGGGAAGAAAGAUGGGUCUUGGAGGUUGUGUGUAGAUUAUAGGGCACUCAACAAGAUGACUAUCAAAGAUAAAUUUCCCAUCCCCAUUAUCGAAGAGUUGUUAGAUGAACUUGGUGGUUCACGGAUCUACUCUAAACUGGAUCUUAGGUCUGGCUAUCAUCAGAUUAGGAUGGCAAGGGAAGAUGUACAGAAGACUGCUUUCAGGACACAUGCUGGACACUAUGAGUAUUUAGUGAUGCCCUUUGGUCUCACUAAUGCACCUUCUAGUUUUCAAGGGUUAAUGAACCAUGUGUUCAAAGAUUACCUAAGGAAGUUUAUUUUGGUAUUUUUUGAUGACAUUUUGGUUUACAGCAGGAGCUUGGAAGAACAUUUGCAGCAUUUGAGAAUCACUUUCAACUUGCUGGUACAACAUAAGUUGUUUGUGAGGAAGGCUAAAUGCUCAUUUGGGGCAACAAGGGUGGAGUACUUAGGUCAUUUCAUCUCUGCUGAGGGUGUAGCUACUGAUCCAAAAAAGAUAGAAGCUGUUAAAAAUUGGCCAAUACCUAAAACACUAAAGGAGUUGAGGGGUUUUCUUGGAUUAACUGGUUACUAUAGGAGGUUCAUCAAAGGUUAUGGGGUCAUUAGCAAGCCGUUGACUGAUCUUUUGAAGAAGGAGGGGUAUCAUUGGAGUGACAAGGCUACUGCAGCUGUUGAGAAGUUGAAAUUAGCACUGGUAAGUGCUCCUGUGCUAGCUUUGCCUAAUAGUACAUUGAUGUUUGUAGUCGAAACAGAUGCAUGUGACUACGGUAUAGGGGCAGUAUUGAUGCAGGAUGGACAUCCAUUGGCUUAUUUGAGCAAGGGGCUCUCUGCAAGGCAUCAAGGUUUAUCUGUGUAUGACAAAGAGCUAUUAGCUUUAGUCAUGGCCGUGACUAAGUGGUCACAAUAUCUGCUGGGAAGACAUUUUUUAAUCAGAACAGAUCAAAAAGCAUUGAAGUUUUUACUGGAGCAAAAACUUCAUACUGGGACUCAAAUGAAAUGGAUAGCAAAAUUGAUGCAGUUUGAUUUUGAAAUAGAGUAUAAGAAGGGAAGGGAAAAUAAGGCUGCCGAUUCUCUAUCAAGACAAGUGAAUACUGAAUUGCUAAUGAUUUCAGUAGCACCUGCAGAUCACACUUUGCUUCAUAGGAUCAUGGAACUUUGGAACAAAGACCAAGAGCUUAGAUCUCUUAUUCAGAAGCUGGAGGAGCAAGGUGAAACAGUAAAGGGAUACACUUACACCAACCAACAACUAAGGAAGUAUGGUAAGCUGGUUAUUGGAGCAGAUGCACAGCUAAGGAAGGACAUCAUGCAACUGUGGCAUGAUAACACUAAUGGGGGCAAGGUCAGAAAGCUGGAGUUCUUGUUGGCAGAUGCUGUAGCACAGGGUGCUGACUGCAUAGUGACUAUAGGUGGCAUACAAAGUAAUCACUGUCGUGCUACUGCUGUCGCUGCCAAGUACUUAAACCUUGACUGUUAUCUCAUCUUACGCACUUCAAAGGUAUACCAUAAUUGUUCUCUUGGUAUUCUGUUUACUUCAAAGGACUUUCUUCUUUUUGUGUAAAGAGGAGGGUAUAGAGGAUGCUGAGCAAAUUUUAGGUUUUAUAAGAUCCUUAUAGGUUUCUGUGUAGCAAGUUUUUGUCUUAUCUUUGAGCCAGCU